rnacentral:lncRNA from 11 species
GUGUGUGUGGGGGAGCGACGUAAAUUACUCUAAGCACAGUGUUGGCAGCAGAGAGGAAUCUGCUGCCAAUUAGUUGCAUUCUUUCUUGUAUCUUUUGUUCCUUGGCUUUCGUUUUGUUUAUACCCAGGCUGAAGCAAGCAGUUUGUUUUUAUCCGGAUUAAACUCCGGUUUAAUCCGGUUUAUCUUUUGAACAUUUAAUUUUGCCCCUUUUUGCUCCUAAAGGCAAAAACUGCCUGGCCCUUGUGUUUUACGGGCAUUUUUGAGUUCUGUAAUCUAAUAAACUCUGUUACUUUGAAUCUUGUGGCGUUCUGUCCUUGACACAAAGUCAUACAGGUAGCUAAUAGGAAAAGC